UACGAAGGGUGCAAGCGUUACUCGGAAUUACUGGGCGUAAAGCGUGCGUAGGUGGUUCGUUAAGUCUGAUGUGAAAGCCCUGGGCUCAACCUGGGAAUGGCAUUGGAAACUGGCGACCUAGAGUGCGGUAGAGGGUAGUGGAAUUCCCGGUGUAGCAGUGAAAUGCGUAGAGAUCGGGAGGAACAUCCGUGGCGAAGGCGACUACCUGGACCAGCACUGACACUGAGGCACGAAAGCGUGGGGAGCAAGCAGG
rnacentral:rRNA from 1 species